GGUCAGAGAAGAGCGCCCAUGGAGGCCCUUUGUCUCAGCUGCGUCCCCACAAUGAGCUGAAGACAAAGGAAAAAACGAGGGAGGGUUGAAUCGUGUACUUUCUAAAUAGUGGAGUUUAGAAAGUGGAGUUUCUAAACAGUGAGAGGCUUAGGCCUCUAUUCAUUAAGUACUUAAAAAAAAAAACUUUCAGUUUUAUCACUUUAAAUUAUACCAAUAACUUAACAUUUGCCUUAAAAAAAAAACAAAACUCCAAAUUCAAGUUCUCUUAAAUACCACUCCAAACCCCGAGGUCCUUCUUAAUUCUAACUGCUACAGGGCAGACCUCCAAUCUGUUCCUUACACUUUUAGAUCUGUAUGCUUGUUCGUUAAUACACAUGAGGCAUUUCCUCCUAAUAGAGAUCGGGAUGAAUAUCCUCAUGCACUUUGAGCUUUGUCAGCAGUGUCUUUAGGAUCUAUUCAGAUGUACAGGCAUGUGAAUUCCUUUUAACUGCUGGAUGUCCUUGUCAUCACAUGCAGGUUUAUCUGUGAUUCUGCCUUUGUCCUAUGGGUGGACAUGAAGGGUCCCCGCCAAGUUCCUCUGUUAUAAACAACGCUGCAAUAAUGCUUUACCCAGCGCCAGCUUGAGCUGGAGGGCUGUAUAGCAGCAGUCGGGAAUAGUGGGAAGAAAUAGUUUAUCAAGGACUUUCAGAAUUUCUUUCUCAUGGUGCUAAUUAGCAGGCUUUAAGUGAGAUGACUUUGAAGUCUGCACCACGCUCUCCUAUCCGGCAGGAACAGACUGCUGCCCACCUCUCCACCUCUGCCGUCAUGUGCCUCCUAUUUCCUGGGGUGUCUCUCUCCGCCCGCUCCUCUCCUUCUAAGGUCCAGCAGCACACUAGGCAACCAGAAAGGCUUUCAAAGUCAGGACCUUCUCCAGGCAGCUCUCCAGGACAUCAUGCUGCCCUUAACCUCAGCGUAGGACACCCUGAAGACCAUCUUCCUUUGUCAGUUACCAGCCCUCCUAAACACUGCCUCCUCUAGGCAGCCCACCCAGUAUCAGCAC
ensembl:lncRNA